rnacentral:rRNA from 1 species
UACGAAGGGGGCUAGCGUUGCUCGGAAUCACUGGGCGUAAAGGGUGCGUAGGCGGGUUUUAAGUCAGAGGUGAAAUCCUGGAGCUCAACUCCAGAACUGCCUUUGAUACUGAGAAUCUUGAGUUCGGGAGAGGUGAGUGGAACUGCGAGUGUAGAGGUGAAAUUCGUAGAUAUUCGCAAGAACACCAGUGGCGAAGGCGGCUCACUGGC